UUGACGAAGAAAAUAUAUGGUCAGAAUCAGAAAGACGAAAUGGAAGAAAUGGAAUUAGUUUCGUCUGAUUCUAAGAAAUUUCAUUUUUUAGCCUUUUUUAGCCUUGUUAGGCUCCUGGAUCCAAUUCUGGAUCACACCUCUAGAAGGAGGGCGAAGGGUUUGAGUGCGAUCACACCUGUUGGGACCCGAAAUAUGGUGAACUAUGCCUAAGCAGGGUGAAUCCAGAGGAAACUCUGGUGGAGGCCUAUAGCGAUACUAACGUGCAAAUCGUUCGUCUGACUUGGGUAUAGGGGUGAAAGACUAAUCGAACCAUCUAGUAGCUGGUUUCCUCUGAAGUUUCCCUCAGGAUAGAUGGAGCUCACGUGCGAGUUUUAUUGGGUAAAGCAAAUGAUUAGAGGCAUCGGGGGCGUAACACCCUCGACCUAUUCUCAAACUUUAAAUAUGUAAGACGGUGCGACUGCUCCAUUGAGAUGUGCCACGGAAUCGAGAGCUCCAAGUGAAUGCGACCCCAUCUCAGGAAAGAACACCCGCUGAGUUUAAGAAUAUAAUUAAGUGGAGGAAAAGAAACUUACAAGGAUUCCCCUAGUAACGGCGAGCGAACCAGGAAGAGCCCAGCAUGAAAAUCGGGUGGCAGCAUCACCUGAAUUGUAGUCUGUAGAAGUGUCCUUAGCGGUGGACCGGGCCCAAGUCCACUAGAAGGGGGCUCUUGAGAGGGUGACAGCCCCAUCGGGCCGGGACCCUUCUGCACCACGAGGCGUUGUCGGCGAGUCGGGUUGUUUGGGAAUGCAGCCCUAAUUGGGUGGUAAAUUCUGUCCAAGGCUAAAUACGGGCGAGAGACCGAUAGC
rfam:Picea glauca, whole genome shotgun sequence.